UACGGAGGGUGCAAGCGUUAAUCGGAAUUACUGGGCGUAAAGCGCACGCAGGCGGUCUGUCAAGUCGGAUGUGAAAUCCCCGGGCUCAACCUGGGAACUGCAUUCGAAACUGGCAGGCUAGAGUCUUGUAGAGGGGGGUAGAAUUCCAGGUGUAGCGGUGAAAUGCGUAGAGAUCUGAGGAAUACCGGUGGCGAAGGCGGCCCCCUGGACAAAGACUGACGCUCAGGUGCGAAAGCGUGGGGAGCAAACAGG
rnacentral:rRNA from 1 species